rnacentral:rRNA from 1 species
AUGAUUAAGCUUGCGCUCCUCAUCCGAGGAACUGCGUUGCUCCUUUGCCUAUUGAUCUGCCGAGCAGCAUCCACUUCCCAUGGUCCAGCGAGUGCAUCAAGAGCCUGCAUUGGCGACGAGCGAGAUGCGCUUCUGUCCUUCAAGGCAAGCCUCCUGGACCCUGCUGGUCGUCUGUCAUCAUGGCAGGGCGACGACUAUUGUCGAUGGAAGGGAGUCCAGUGCAGCAACAGAACUGGCCAUAUCAUCAAGAUCAGCCUCGGCAGCAUCGACAAGUAUGGCCACACGAGCAGAUGGUUGAGCUUGUCAGCAGGAGAGAUGAGCUCUUCUUUGGCUACUUUACAACACCUGAGGUAUCUUGAUCUGAGCAGGAAUUACUUCAACGGCACAAGCAUCCCUGUGUUCUUGGCUUCUCUCAAGAACCUAAGGUAUCUCGACCUCUCGUAUGUUGGAUUCACAGGAACAAUACCUUCCCAACUUGGCAAUCUCUCAAAGCUGCAAUAUCUAGAUGUCAGUUGGAAUUCUUUUGAUUCGGAUAGUUACCCAGUGAAUCUUGCAUGGUUGCCACGUCUCUCUUCUUUGAGCCAUCUCGACAUGAGCGGUGUUGAUCUUAGUUUUUCCAAGGAUUGGCAGAUGGUGAACAUGCUUCCUUCUCUUAAAGUGCUUUGCCUGAGCUCCUGUGAACUCAAUCUUCCCGUAUCUGCUAGCAUGUCACAUUCCAACCUCACACAUGUCGAGAUACUUGAUUUGUCUUAUAACAAACUCUAUACUAAUUCACUCAAGCACGCAUGGUUUUGGAAUCUCACAAGCCUUGAGGAGCUUUCUUCACUUGGAAGGGGCCAUUCCUAG